GAAAUGCGAUAAGUAAUGUGAAUUGCAGAAUUCCGUGAAUCAUCGAAUCUUUGAACGCACAUUGCGCCCUCUGGUAUUCCGGGGGGCAUGCCUGUCCGAGCGUCAUUGCGAACCCCUCAAGCACGGCUUGUGUGAUGGGCCCUCCCGCGUCUUGGUCGUCAAGACGGGCCCGAAAUGCAGUGCGGCUUCGCGGUUAUCCGAUCAGCCAGAGCGUAUGGGGACUCUCUCUCUUGUCACACGCCCGCGGCGCGGACCGACGCCUGUCGACCUUUAUUCAUCUUCUCUCGGUUGACCUCGGAUCAGGUAGGGAUACCCGCUGAACUUAAGC
rnacentral:misc_RNA from 1 species